UACGGAGGGGGCUAGCGUUGUUCGGAAUUACUGGGCGUAAAGCGCACGUAGGCGGCUCGUUAAGUCGGGGGUGAAAUCCUGGAGCUCAACUCCAGAACUGCCUUCGAUACUGGCGAUCUCGAGUCCGGAAGAGGUGAGUGGAACUCCUAGUGUAGAGGUGGAAUUCGUAGAUAUUAGGAAGAACACCAGUGGCGAAGGCGACUCACUGGUCCGGUACUGACGCUGAGGUGCGAAAGCGUGGGGAGCAAACAGG
rnacentral:rRNA from 1 species